CCAGCUAAUGUUUUUAAAGUUCAGCCAAUCACACACCUAGGUACCUAGUCUUUACCUAGUACACACAAGUUGUUCAUGCAAUGACCACAUCUAGUUCAAUCUAGGCAACCAAUUGUCUUUUUUUUUUUUUUUUUUUUUUGUAAACAGCUCAGGAUUUGAAGUCCAUCUGACUUCCCCUUUGUGCCAUCUUUGACUGGCUGAUGUGCCCUACACUGCACCUUACCAACUGUAGCACACAGGAGAGGGACCUUUACCCUGUCUGGGCAGCACACUAGAGCUGACCCUGUUGUCUGCUAUCGGGGCACAGAGCAACCCAACUCCUGAGUAUAAUGGGCAUGAAAUUACUUCAUAAGGUAACUUGCAGAGGAAAGUAAUGAAGUACAAGGAAGACCCCAUGCCAACAAAGAAGAUCUCUCCUUCUACUGCAGUUUAUAAACAUAUUUCUGUCUCCAAGCUGCUCUGUUCACUGCACUUAGCCUGGUUACACUCUUCUGAUUUGAUUCAGAGCGAAGACAUGAAAAAGAAUGGGAAGAGUAUCCUGCAUUAAAGAUAAUGUUGGCUAAUUCUCAUAGAUCCAAAGGGAGAGUACCAAAGAACACCUCUCUCUUUCUCUCUCUGAGUUAUGUCGGACUGUGGGUCUCUGCAUCUGCUCCCAUCUCUGCCACAGGAAGCCUGUCCGAGGACAACUGGAGAAGGCAACAACUAAUGACUGCAGCAGAAUAUAUUAGACACAAUUUCAUUAGUUUUAUUUUAUAUUUUUAGACCAAAAGUGCUUGAUUCUACCUUAGUUCUUCGGGAUAACCAGUUUCAGUUUCCUGGCCAUCUUAAUCGUGUUUGGCAUGGGCUCCCUCUUGUAGAGUGGGCCUCAAGUUAAAUCAGACAUUACUUGGUCACUACCACAAGUUCUUUGCCAACAUUGCCUCAGUACAUCUUGCAGGCAGGAUAUAUCGUAGGUCAGAGGUAUUGUGGCUGGCUUAGUGUAAAGAUUUUUCUUUCAGUACGAGCAUCAGCAUGUUUUUUUGUUUGUUUGUUUGGUUGUGUUUUUUGUUCUUUUUUUUUAAUCUCUACAGGACCCCCUCAGACAAAAACUCAAAAGAAGGUAACCUAGUUCUGCCACUGGGAGCUUUCCCUGCCUAGAAGAGGUGGCCAGUUCAUACUUCAUAUCCUCCAUUAUGAGUCCUCACUCACUAAGAUUGCCCUACGAGAUUACAGGAAGCUCUACACCAUGUCCCAAAUAUCCCUCAAUUCCAGAUGUCUAUCACUAUAAUUUCUUCCUCCAUCCCAUCCCCCUACUUUAUCCCUUUCAUUCCUGCUCCCUCCCACCAAAGUCCGCCCACAAUCUCCAUUCUAUUUCUGCUUACCUGGAAGAGCCAUGCAUCCACCCCCACCAUUCUAGAACCCUCAUCUUUACAUAAACUGUGGAUUAUACUCUAAUUAUCAUUUACCUAAAGGCUAUUAUCCACUUAUAAGUGAAUACAUACCAUGUGUGAAUUUCUAGGUCUUACUUAUCUGACUCAGAAUGAUAUUUUCUAGUUCCAUCCAUUUGCCUAAAAAUAUCAUAAUGACAUUUUUUAGGCUGAGUGAUACUAUAUUGUGUAUAUCUACCACAUUUUUUCUUUAUUCAUUUUUUGGUUGAGGGACAUAUAGGUUGUUUAUGGUUUCUUACUAUUAUGAAUAUAGCCACACGAACAUAGUUAAUCAGGUGUCUUGGUGGUAGGAUGGUACAUUAUUUGUGUAUAUACCAAUAGUGGUAUAUAUGGGUCUUGAUAUAGGUUGAUUACCAAUUUUCUGAGAAACUGCAUAUUGAUAUCUCUAAUGUUUAUCCCAUUUUCUAAUUAAAUAUUUGGUCUUAUACUGAAAUUGGCUAUUGUAUAUUGUUCAACUCAUUUCUGUGUAUUCUGAAUGUCAAUCUCUUGUCAGAUUUACCAUUUGAAAGUAUGUAUCCAAUUGUGCCUCUUGUCUCUGAAAGCUAUGUUUCGUCUUUGUUGUAUUGAAGCUACUUGGUUUGAGAUAACCAUAUUAUUUUUUCCCUGUGUUUAUAAGUUCUAAUACUAAAACAAAGUCUUGGCUAUAUAAAUAUUUUAAGGAGAUUCAACUCCAAAUUCUUAAAUGUAACAUUCCAAUCAUGGAAAUUAUAGAGAAAACUAAGUAUACAAAGAUAAUUGAUAACUGUGGAAUACUUAAAGCAACAAAAUAGUCUGUGAUUUCUAAUUAAAUUCAAGUAACUUUGUUUCCAUUAAUUUAAAACAGAAUCUAAAGUUCACAUGAAUCACAAAAGGUCCUGGAUAUAUAAAGUAAUCCUUCAUAUAAAUAAAACAAGGAAUAAAACUGACAAUGUAGAUUAACAGUAAGCAUUGAACAUGUAAAUGUAUAGGUACAAACCAACCAUACCACUGAAAUAGAACAAGCACAG
ensembl:lncRNA